UGGGGAAUAUUGGACAAUGGGCGCAAGCCUGAUCCAGCAAUGCCGCGUGUGUGAAGAAGGCCUUCGGGUUGUAAAGCACUUUUAUCAGGAGCGAAACGCUGUCGGCUAAUACCCGGCGGAACUGACGGUACCUGAGGAAUAAGCACCGGCUAACUUCGUGCCAGCAGCCGCGGUAAUACGAAGGGUGCAAGCGUUAAUCGGAAUUACUGGGCGUAAAGCGUGCGUAGGUGGUUUCUUAAGUCUGCUGUGAAAUCCCCGGGCUCAACCUGGGAAUGGCAGUGGAUACUGGGAGGCUAGAGUGUGUCAGAGGGUGGUGGAAUUCCCGGUGUAGCGGUGAAAUGCGUAGAGAUCGGGAGGAACAUCAGUGGCGAAGGCGGCCACCUGGGACAACACUGACGCUGAGGCACGAAAGCGUGGGGAGCAAACAGGAUUAGAUACCCUGGUAGUCCACGCCCUAAACGAUGCGAACUGGAUGUUGGUCUCAGCUCGGAGAUCAGUGUCGAAGCUAACGCGUUAAGUUCGCCGCCUGGGGAGUACGGUCGCAAGACUGAAACUUAAAGG
rnacentral:rRNA from 1 species